UAACACAUGCAAGUCGAACGAAGCGAGAGAGAGCUUGCUUUCUCGAGCGAGUGGCGAACGGGUGAGUAACGCGUGAGGAACCUGCCUCAAAGAGGGGGACAACAGUUGGAAACGACUGCUAAUACCGCAUAAGCCCACAGGUCGGCAUCGACCAGAGGGAAAAGGAGCAAUCCGCUUUGAGAUGGCCUCGCGUCCGAUUAGCUAGUUGGUGAGGUAACGGCCCACCAAGGCGACGAUCGGUAGCCGGACUGAGAGGUUGAACGGCCACAUUGGGACUGAGACACGGCCCAGACUCCUACGGGAGGCAGCAGUGGGGAAUAUUGCACAAUGGGGGAAACCCUGAUGCAGCGACGCCGCGUGGAGGAAGAAGGUCUUCGGAUUGUAAACUCCUGUUGUUGAGGAAGAUAAUGACGGUACUCAACAAGGAAGUGACGGCUAACUACGUGCCAGCAGCCGCGGUAAAACGUAGGUCACAAGCGUUGUCCGGAAUUACUGGGUGUAAAGGGAGCGCAGGCGGGAAGACAAGUUGGAAGUGAAAUCUAUGGGCUCAACCCAUAAACUGCUUUCAAAACUGUUUUUCUUGAGUAGUGCAGAGGUAGGCGGAAUUCCCGGUGUAGCGGUGGAAUGCGUAGAUAUCGGGAGGACACCAGUGGCGAAGGCGGCCUACUGGGCACCAACUGACGC
rnacentral:rRNA from 1 species